rnacentral:rRNA from 1 species
UACGAAGGGGGCUAGCGUUGCUCGGAAUCACUGGGCGUAAAGGGUGCGUAGGCGGGUCUUUAAGUCAGGGGUGAAAUCCUGGAGCUCAACUCCAGAACUGCCUUUGAUACUGAGGAUCUUGAGUUCGGGAGAGGUGAGUGGAACUGCGAGUGUAGAGGUGAAAUUCGUAGAUAUUCGCAAGAACACCAGUGGCGAAGGCGGCUCACUGGCCCGGAUACUGACGCUGAGGCACGAAAGCGUGGGGAGCGAACAGG